rnacentral:rRNA from 1 species
UACCUGAUGGUAUGAUGAGAUUGCAUGAUAGCAUCAUUAAAGAUUUAUCGGUGUACGAUGGGGAUGCGUUCCAUUAGGUAGUAGGCGGGGUAACGGCCCACCUAGCCAACGAUGGAUAGGGGUUCUGAGAGGAAGGUCCCCCACAUUGGAACUGAGACACGGUCCAAACUCCUACGGGAGGCAGCAGUGAGGAAUAUUGGUCAAUGGACGAGAGUCUGAACCAGCCAAGUAGCGUGAAGGAUGAAGGUCUUACGGAUUGUAAACUUCUUUUAUAAGGGAAUAAAACCUCCCACGUGUGGGAGCUUGUAUGUACCUUAUGAAUAAGCAUCGGCUAACUCCGUGCCAGCAGCCGCGGUAAUACGGAGGAUGCGAGCGUUAUCCGGAUUUAUUGGGUUUAAAGGGAGCGCAGACGGG